ACCAAGCUUCACUGAAGGCAUGUUUGUUUUGUCGAAAAUAGAUUUUGAAUUGAGGUGGAUUUUGCAUUGGAGUAGAGUUCGGUAAAAUCUAUUUCUUUUCUACUGUUUGUUUUAUAGCUAUGAAAGUGAAGUUCGUUUAGUUUUACUGUUAUUAGCAGAAAGUGACUCUUCAGUUUUGCUAUUUGUUUGGCAGAAAGUAAAUCUGUCACGCCCCAGGGCUUAAUUGGUAUGAGUCUUGCUAUAAAACAAUGACGCUCUAUAAAUUAGAGUUGCGAAUUUUUUUCUUUUUUUGAAAACAGUCUAAUUCACGUGACAUACAGACUCGUCACAAAUAAAAAUUCCUCUGCUCACACGAACAGAAUCCCCUUUGUAAUUUGUACAGCGUACCAAUCAAACAAUAUCAGCCAGAUCACAACUCACAACCUACAUUCACUUAAUUCACAAACAAUCAAUGCAAUACAUGUCUAUACAGCUAAUCAUUUUGCAAUGAUGCAUGUCUCUAAACACUUCUUAACCGCUAAAUGAUGCUAACACUGCCAAACAAACAACAGAACUAUAGAAACUUCAUUUCCAUAUCUAUAAAAUAAACAGUACGAAAGAAGUAGAUUUCAUGAAUUCCACUUUAAUAUAGAAUUCACUUCAACCUAAAGUCUACUUUUGGUGGAACAAAUAUGCCUUAAUAUCUAUUACUAUUAAAUCUAUUAAUAAAUUAAUAAAUUAUAUGAAUCCUCAAUAUAUUUUGGCACGUGGCAAGUUUUUCUUCACCUUCACCACCAUGUAAUUCUUCAUCUUCUCUCCAUUAAAUUUUUAAUUAACGUAUCUAAUUAAUACAUUUAAAAUGACAUACUACUAAACUUUCAAUUAAUGUAUUUAAAUGGUCCCCUAUCAAGUUUUUCUUCACCUUCACCAUCAUGUGAUUCUUCCCCUCUCUUCAUCAAAUUUUUAAUUAACGUACCUAAUUAAUACAUCUAAAAUGGUCUACUACUAAACUUCCAAUUAAUAUAUUUAAAUUCUCCAUUAAAUUUUUAAUUAACGUAUCUAAUUAAUAUAUUUAAAAUAGCCAACUACUAAACUUCCAACUAAUAUAUCUAAAUGUUCCCCCAUGUCAUUUAUAAUUCUCACUAUUUUAUUUCUAAUUAAUUUAUUACGAUCCUUCACUUUUCCUUAGAGAUGUCAAAGGGUCGGAUUCAAGGCGGAUUUUUAAAAUCCGAACCCGAACCCGACUCCAAAUCCGAGACCCGAACCUGAACCCGAACCCGACGGAUUUUAAAAAUUCAUAUCCAAACCCGAACCCGAUCAAAAAUCCGAAACCAGAACACGAACCCGAACCCGACCCGAACCCAAACCCGAAAAUUUGAACCCGAAACAAUUAUUUUUUUUUUCAAUGUUUCAAAAUAUAUUAUAUUAAAUCUAAAUUUUUAAAAUACAAAUUCAAAUAUAACAUCAAAUAUAUAUAUAUAUAUAUAAUACAAAAUAAAUUCGGGUUCGAGUUCGGGUUCGGGUCGGAUACAAUCAAAAUUCAUAUCCGAAUCCAUAUCCGUCGAGUUUCUAUUUUUUAUAUCCAUAUCCGAAUUCAUAUCUAUAUACAUCGGAUAUAUCCGUUUCAUUCGGGUUCGGGUUCGGAUAAAAUUUUGGAUAUCCAUACCUAUUGACAUCCCUACUUUUCCUCCACAAGACUUCUAAAUAAUCCAUUUAAAUAGUUCGUCGUCAUUUACAAUCCUCACAUCUUCAUCCCUCAUCUGUUUUCUAAACCAUCGCCUUCCUCCCUUCCUCCCUCUCUCACACUACUACGCGCUUGCCUCCCCUCUACGGAGAUACAAGAAAAUAUUUGAUGUUCUCUUAUUAUUAAUUGUUUUCACAAUUUUUAUCCGCUGCGAAGCGCAAGUCCUUCACUAGUAUAAGAUGAAGUGCAUAGAAAGAUAAGAGAAGAGA
rnacentral:lncRNA from 1 species